rnacentral:lncRNA from 1 species
AUGUAAAGCCAAAACCGGAUCACAUCAGUGGACUAACAAUAAGCAGCAGUUUACACCUUGCUUUCCCCUUGAAUGUGGCUCAAACAUCUGAUAUGCUCCAAACAGUUUACACCUUGCUUUCCCCUUGAAUGUGGCUCAAACAUCUGAUAUGCUCCAAAGUACUGCUUCUAUAAACAUCUGCUGACCUACAACUGCUGAUUCUACACAAGGACUGAUGAAGACUAAAAAGCUCUGCUGCUCAAUCUACUGUCUUGGUUCAAGCACUGCUUAUCAUGACAAGUACUGCUGGGUUCACAGCAGUGGAAGGAUGCAGCAGCAGUUUAUGUUUAUCUCAUGUAAUACAAUAUAAUAUCAGUAGUUAGCAAAGCAGUAGUUGUAUAGAUCAGUAUAUAGAGUUUGUUAGGUUGUUAGAUGUCACUUUCAUGGUGACGUCAGCUGAGAUGCGUCAGUGGAUUGGAUUGCCUAUAAAUGAAACAGUACUCUGUACUGUUACAUUUGAUUGACUGAGUAGGAUUCUUCUUCUUCAGUCCAAUCCUUUCAUCUUGUGCAACCAACCU